AUUGAACGCUGGCGGAAUGCUUUACACAUGCAAGUCGAACGGUAGAGGGGGCAACCCCUUGAGAGUGGCGAACGGGUGAGUAAUAUAUCGGAACGUGCCCAGUCGUGGGGAUAACGUAGCGAAAGUUACGCUAAUACCGCAUACGAUCUACGGAUGAAAGCGGGGGACUCGCAAGAGCCUCGCGCGAUUGGAGCGGCCGAUAUCAGAUUAGGUAGUUGGUGGGGUAAAGGCUCACCAAGCCAACGAUCUGUAGCUGGUCUGAGAGGACGACCAGCCACACUGGAACUGAGACACGGUCCAGACUCCUACGGGAGGCAGCAGUGGGGAAUUUUGGACAAUGGACGCAAGUCUGAUCCAGCCAUUCCGCGUGCAGGAUGAAGGCCCUCGGGUUGUAAACUGCUUUUUGUACGGAACGAAAAGGUUUCUAUUAAUACUAGGAGCUCAUGACGGUACCGUAAGAAUAAGCACCGGCUAACUACGUGCCAGCAGCCGCG
rnacentral:rRNA from 1 species